rnacentral:misc_RNA from 1 species
GGCUUUGGCAGCAGCUCUUAAUCUACACAUGAAUAAAAUUUCAAUUAACUAAAUACUUAACAAGAGAUUAAGAUAUGCUAAGUACAUAUAUGUCAUACAUCUAAAGGAAAGGUGAAUUUCAGAUCAUAUAUAAAGAAAAGCUUGCAAUAUAAAAUGAAUCAUUUUUUUAAUCAGCAAAAGAAACAUAAAAGAUGGUGAUUAUGCUACUACAAUAAUCAUCAUGGCAAAUCCCAUCCUAGAGAAUGUCAAUGAAUGGUCCAGAAUAACAUGAUGUCUGAGCUUGGUACAUUCUAAAGAAAUACUUUUCUCUUUUUAUUGGAUAAAAAAAAAAUUCUAUAUUUAUCAUUCUAUUAAAUACUUGGUGAAUAACAUAACUUCAGUAAACAGAUGUUAAUCAUAGGUAUGUACAAGCCUGUUUUUCACUCCUGCACACAAACAUAUGGAGAUUUUACUGAAAUGUUGCACAAAGAAAAU